UACGUAGGGGUCGAGCGUUGUCCGGAGUUACUGGGCGUAAAGCGUGCGCAGGCGGCUCAUUGCGCCCGGCGUGAAAGCCCCCGGCUCAACCGGGGAGGGUCGUCGGGGACGGGUGAGCUUGAGGGUAUCAGGGGUUGGUGGAAUUCCCGGUGUAGUGGUGAAAUGCGUAGAGAUCGGGAGGAACAUCAGUGGCGAAGGCGGCUACCUGGCCCAAUACUGACACUCAGGUGCGACAGCGUGGGGAGCAAACAGG
rnacentral:rRNA from 1 species